GUUUCAAUACCCUCCAGCUCCACUUACAGUCAAGUUAUUGUGUUUUUGUUUUUUAUUUCUCAUUGCUGUUCUUAUUACAACAGGACUGGCGGUGCUCUAAAGACUCCAGUUUGCUUGGAAUCACCUCAGGAAAUUAGCAUCGAGGAUACUGUGCAUGAUGCUCCAGACAAUGCCCCAAAUCAAACUAUGGCAGACAUACCAACACUCCCCGACGCAGCAAAAGUCAUGCGUGUGUUGUGCCCAGGACCCAAACAGGAAGGUAGAGUGCCGAGCACCUGGACAAUCAUUCAAUAUCAGUUCCAGGGGAACAGCUGCUGUCAUUGAAUGGAUGUGUCCUCGUGGUCACACUGUUUGGAAGUGGGCUUCCCAGCCCACGUUGAAGUUUGGGAUGCUAGUCGGGGACUUCAUGCUCUCCAGUAAUAUCCUGCUAUCAGGAAACAAUUACGCCAAGAUCUCACUACUGUUCAAGUUCAUGAAGAUGGGGAUGGUAGCGAUGUCAACAGAAUCCAGGACUCCUACUGUGUGGACACUAUAA
rnacentral:lncRNA from 1 species